rnacentral:misc_RNA from 1 species
AAGUCGUAACAAGGUUUCCGUAGGUGAACCUGCGGAAGGAUCAUUAACGAGUUUUGAAGUGGGUUUGAUGCUGGCCUUCCCAGGCAUGUGCUCGCCCUACUCUUCAUCCACUCACACCUGUGCACCUAUAAAUGCUGAAAGAUUCAUCCCCUAGACUUCGUCAGGGGUGCGGUUGAGGGAGACUUUGGCCGUUGGGUUGAAUCUUUGGUGUUUAACUUUUCUAUAAACUCUUGAAUGUUAUAGAAUGUCUUAUGGCCUACGGGCUUGUAUAAAUUAAAAUACAACUUUCAACAACGGAUCUCUUGGCUCUC